AAUGAACGCNGGCGGCGUGCNAACACAUGCAAGUCGGAUGUGCCCGCAAGGGUGCAUGGCAGACGGGUGAGUAACGCGUGGGGAAUCUACCUCUUUGUGGGGAAUAACGCUCCGAAAGGAGUGGUAAUACCGCAUGAGAUCCAUGGCUGGAAUGUUGUGGAUGAAACCUGGGGACCUUCGGGCCUGGGGCAAGGAGAGGAUCCUGCGUCUGAUUAGCUAGUUGGUGAGGUAACGGCCCACCAAGGCAACGAUCAGUAGCCGGCCUGAGAGGGUGAUCGGCCACACUGGAACUGAGACACGGUCCAGACUCCUACGGGAGGCAGCAGUGGGGAAUUUUGCGCAAUGGGCGAAAGCCUGACGCAGCAACGCCGCGUGGGUGAUGAAGGUCUUCGGAUCGUAAAACCCUGUCGUCGGGGACGAAGGUGUGGGGGUUAAUAGCCUUUGCAUUUGACGGUACCCGGAGAGGAAGCCCCGGCUAACUCUGUGCCAGCAGCCGCGGUAAUACAGAGGGGGCAAGCGUUAUUCGGAAUUAUUGGGCGUAAAGGGCGCGUAGGCGGCUUUUUAAGUGAGAUGUGUAAUCCCCGAGCUCAACUUGGGAACUGCAUCUCAUACUGGGAGGCUAGAGUACUGGAGAGGGUGGUAGAAUUCCACGUGUAGCGGUGAAAUGCGUAGAGAUGUGGAGGAAUACCAGUGGCGAAGGCGGCCACCUGGACAGUAACUGACGCUGAGGCGCGAAAGUGUGGGUAGCAAACAGGAUUAGAUACCCUGGUAGUCCACACUGUAAACGAUGAACACUUGGUGUGGAGGGAGUUGACCCCUUCCGUGCCGUAGCUAACGCGUUAAGUGUCC
rnacentral:rRNA from 1 species